rnacentral:rRNA from 1 species
GACGAACGCUGGCGGCGUGCUUAAUACAUGCAAGUCUUAGGGGUUAACUCCUUUCGGGGAGUUGAUCACUGGCGCACGGGUGAGUAACACGUAAGUCAUCUGCCCUUGGGUCGGGCAUAACACCGGGAAACCGGUGCUAAUUCCCGAUUAUAUCGUAAGAUCAAAGCUUUCGAGCGCCCAGGGAUGAGCUUGCGUCUGAUUAGCUAGUUGGUAGGGUAACGGCCUACCAAGGCGACGAUCAGUAGCCGGUCUGAGAGGAUGAUCGGCCACAUUGGGACUGAGACACGGCCCAGACUCCUACGGGAGGCAGCAGUAAGGAAUAUUGCGCAAUGGACGAAAGUCUGACGCAGCAACGCCGCGUGCAGGAUGAAGGCCCUUUGGGUCGUAAACUGCUGUAGCAGGGGAAAUAAAAGUCCACCGCGGGUGGGAUUUGAAGGUACCCUGAAAGUAAGCUCCGGCUAACUACGUGCCAGCAGCCGCCGUAAU